GGCUUACCAUGCAAGUCGAGGGGCAGCAUUUCAGUUUGCUUGCAAACUGGAGAUGGCGACCGGCGCACGGGCUGAGUAACACGCUAUCCAACCUGCCGAUAACUCGGGGAUAGCCUUUCGAAAGAAAGAUUAAUACCCGAUGGNAUAAUCAGACCGCAUGGUCUUAUUAUUAAAGAAUUUCGGUUAUCGAUGGGGAUGCGUUCCAUUAGGCAGUUGGUGAGGUAACGGCUCACCAAACCUUCGAUGGAUAGGGGUUCUGAGAGGAAGGUCCCCCACAUUGGAACUGAGACACGGUCCAAACUCAUACGGGAGGCAGCAGUGAGGAAUAUUGGUCAAUGGGCGCAGGCCUGAACCAGCCAAGUAGCGUGAAGGAUGACUGCCCUAUGGGUUGUAAACUUCUUUUAUAUGGGAAUAAAGUUUUCCACGUGUGGAAUUUUGUAUGUACCAUAUGAAUAAGGAUCGGCUAACUCCGUGCCAGCAGCCGCGGUAAUACGGAGGAUCCGAGCGUUAUCCGGAUUUAUUGGGUUUAAAGGGAGCGUAGGUGGACAGUUAAGUCAGUUGUGAAAGUUUGCGGCUCAACCGUAAAAAUUGCAGUUGAUACUGGCUGUCUUGAGUACAGUAGAGGUGGGCGGAAUUCGUGGUGUAGCGGUGAAAUGCUUAGAUAUCACGAAGAACUCCGAUUGCGAAGGCAGCUCACUGGACUGCAACUGACACUGAUGCUCGAAAGUGUGGGUAUCAAACAGGAUUAGAUACCCUGGUAGUCCACACAGUAAACGAUGAAUACUCGCUGUUUGCGAUAUACAGUAAGCGGCCAAGCGAAAGCAUUAAGUAUUCCACCUGGGGAGUACGCCGGCAACGGUGAAACUCAAAGGAAUUGACGGGGGCCCGCACAAGCGGAGGAACAUGUGGUUUAAUUCGAUGAUACGCGAGGAACCUUACCCGGGCUUAAAUUGCAUUUGAAUANUNUGGAAACAGNUUAGCCGNAAGGCAAAUGUGAAGGUGCUGCAUGGUUGUCGUCAGCUCGUGCCGUGAGGUGUCGGCUUAAGUGCCAUAACGAGCGCAACCCUUAUCUUUAGUUACUAACAGGUCAUGCUGAGGACUCUAGAGAGACUGCCGUCGUAAGAUGUGAGGAAGGUGGGGAUGACGUCAAAUCAGCACGGCCCUUACGUCCGGGGCUACACACGUGUUACAAUGGGGGGUACAGAAGGCAGCUACCUGGUGACAGGAUGCUAAUCCCAAAAGCCUCUCUCAGUUCGGAUCGAAGUCUGCAACCCGACUUCGUGAAGCUGGAUUCGCUAGUAAUCGCGCAUCAGCCAUGGCGCGGUGAAUACGUUCCCGGGCCUUGUACACACCGCCCGUCAAGCCAUGAAAGCCGGGGGUACCUGAAGUACGAACCGCAAGGAGCUC
rnacentral:rRNA from 1 species